rnacentral:tRNA from 1 species
GGCAAAUUGACUCAGUGGUAGAGUGCUUGCCUCGCAUGCAUGAGGUGCUGGUUCGAUUCCCCAGCCCCA